UUGGAGGGCAAGUCUGGUGCCAGCAGCCGCGGUAAUUCCAGCUCCAAUAGCGUAUAUUAAAGUUGUUGCAGUUAAAAAGCUCGUAGUUGAAUUUCGGGAUUCUACCGUUGGUCGGGCUAACAAGUCUGUACUGGUGUGUAGAAUUUCUACCUUCUGGGGAAUUAUCAUGUUAUUAAUUUAGCGUGGUGGGAAACCAGGACCUUUACCUUGAAAAAAUUAGAGUGUUUAAAGCAGGC
rnacentral:rRNA from 1 species